UGAAGUAACGUCUGUAUUUCAUAAGAUAAGACACAGUCUACAAAACCGCAGCUCACAUCAAGUCGUUUACAUCGCCUAAACGUUUUGGGCUAUUAUUGUUUUGGAAGAAACCCUUUGCAGUGUCACGGCUCAAAUGGUUACGUUCAGACAUUAAUAUUGCAAUUAGUAUAUUCAUUAUGGCUUUAGUACCAAACAUCAAGUGACGCAAAAUCUCUACGUAAUAGGGUAAACCUUGCACCUUGUAACAAACUAAAAUGGCACAUUUUUUCCAAGGAGACUUUAAA